rnacentral:rRNA from 1 species
CCUACGGGAGGCAGCAGUGGGGAAUAUUGCACAAUGGGGGAAACCCUGAUGCAGCGACGCCGCGUGAAGGAAGAAGUAUUUCGGUAUGUAAACUUCUAUCAGCAGGGAAGAAAAUGACGGUACCUGACUCAGAAGCCCCGGCUAACUACGUGCCAGCAGCCGCGGUAAUACGCAGGGGGCAAGCGUUAUCCGGAUUUACUGGGUGUAAAGGGAGCGUAGGCGGUUUAGCAAGUCAGGAGGGAAAGCCCGGGGGUCAACUCCGGGACUGCUUUUGAAACUGCUGAACUAGAUUGCAGGAGAGGUAAGUGGAAUGCCUAGUGUAGCGGUGAAAUGCGUAGAUAUUAGGAGGAACACCAGUGGCGAAGGCGACUUACUGGACUGUAAAUGACGCUGAGGCUCGAAAGCGUGGGGAGCAAACAGGAUUAGAUACCCCAGUAGUC